rnacentral:rRNA from 1 species
GUAGGUGGCGAGCGUUGUCCGGAUUUACUGGGCGUAAAGGGAGCGUAGGCGGAUUUUUAAGUGAGAUGUGAAAUACUCGGGCUUAACCUGAGUGCUGCAUNUCAAACUGGAAGUCUAGAGUGCAGGAGAGGAGAAGGGAAUUCCUAGUGUAGCGGUGAAAUGCGUAGAGAUUAGGAAGAACACCAGUGGCGAAGGCGCUUCUCUGGACUGUAACUGACGCUGAGGCUCGAAAGCGUGGGGAGCGAACAGGAUUAGAUACCCUGGUAGUCCACGCCGUAAACGAUGAAUGCUAGGUGUAGGAGGUAUCGACCCCUCCUGUGCCGGAGUUAACGCAAUAAGCAUUCCACCUGGGGAGU